CUGUGUAUACAAGUGACAUAGAGAUAAUGUAUUUACAUCCUUUUCCAUCUGCACAGACUCACUAACAGUUUGUCCUUCCCUGGGGAUCAUUCGCUGGAGCAAUGUUGUGUAGUUCCUGAAGCUGAGAGUGAGGAGAUAUUCUGAGGGUUCAGUAUUCCCUCCAUUAUACGGCGAGGCUGCAUAGUGUGUGGCAGUGGAAACAAUAAAAUUAAUACUAGUGAAGGCUCAGGCCCAAGUUUUGCAAUGGAGACUGAAGUUACACCACUACCAACAGUCCAACUUAAAGGAGAAAUAAAGACUUCAAAAUAAUAUCCCAGUAAUGCUGUAUUUUAUGCAGUGGACUUAGUGUGCCAGGCCAGAGGUUAGGCCUCAGUGUAACAGUAAUAAUCCAGGCCUUGCACUGGAAUGUGCCAUCUUGGAUGGUCAGGCCAUCUUUUGUCAGUGACUCUGCACAUGCUCAGUGUGCUCUGGGCUGCUGUUGAGAAGCUAAGCUUAGGGCUUUACAGAAAUCAUCCCAUUAAGCUGAUGCUACAGAGCUGACUAUUAAUCAAUAGUGAUGUGUGGGCCACUCCAAAACCUCCAGGAACUGUUGAUUUCCGCACAAGAUUGUGGGGUCACAGGCAGGUUUGGGUUGAGCACUUCCUUCCCUCACUCUGACCUUACUGUACCGCUUCUGCCUCCAGUCUUUUAUAGACUUGUGUCUGCAUGCCCCACCCCUUUUGUGAUGCCGGGGCGGGUGCAGGUCUGUAAAUAAGGAGGUGUGCUGGGUUAGGGCCGGGUGUGGAUGUUGAAGGAUUGGUGCAGGUGCUGAAGAGUCAGGUGCCGGUGCUGAAGAAUCAGGUGCGGGUGCUGAAGGGUCAGGUGCGGGUGCUGAAGAGUCAGGUGCGGGUGCUGAAGAGUCAGGUGCGGGUGCUGAAGAGUCAGGUGCGGGUGCUGAAGAGUCAGGUGCGGGUGCUGAAGAGUCAGGUGCGGGUGCUGAAGAGUCAGGUGCGGGUGCUGAAGGGUCAGGUGCGGGUGCUGAAGGGUCAGGUGCGGGUGCUGAAGAGUCAGGUGCGGGUGCUGAAGAGUCAGGUGCGGGUGCUGAAGAGUCAGGUGCCGGUGCUGAAGAGUCAGUAACCUAAAGCAGCUCCUGCAGUGCCACUCCCCAAUGCUUACAUUUCCUGCGUUGGGUCUGGGGGGGGGGGCGCGCAUUGCUAGUGUGGAUAGCAGAACGGAGUGCUCUUGCAGUAGAAGAGACAAAUUUCUGGUUUCAAAUCUGCCAGGGAACCUUAACAAUAGGGGAUUUGUGCAAUCAUUAGCUCCCAGUUAAUUGUGGAGUCGCUGCUACAUUGUUGCAUUGACUACUAGAGGCAGAUUUAUCAAGGGUCAAAUUGAAAAUUUGAAUUUUGUAAGUUUGUUUAUGGUCAAAACUGUCAAAUUCGACUAGGGAGUUGUUCAAAUUCGAUUUGAGGUUUUUUUUUUUAAAUUUAAAUUCGAUUUACGAGAUCUAUCAUAUACAGACUCUUUAAGAACUUGAAUUCGACUAUUGCCACCUAAAACCUGCAGAAUUCAAGGGAUAUAUUUAGACUUGUUUGUAGCCUCCUGACAUUCAAGUUUUUUUUUCGUAGAAAAACCGCAAAUUGAGUUCUUGAAAUUCAAUUAUAUUUGAAUUUGUUUCGAGUUUUUGGGUUGAUUAUAUGCACCUGACUUUAAUAUAAUUCGAUUUCAAUGAUAAAUUUCAAUUGGUCGAAUUUCGAGUUCAUGGGAUUUUUUAAAAAAAAACUAAUGUGAAUUGGAAAUUCCACUUAUGAUAAAUGUGCCCCCUAAUGUAUUCUGCCUGCAUCUCAUGUUCUAGAUACAGUCUGGCUCUCUAGCAGCCUCGGGUUCUGCAACCAAAUAGGCCGUGAAAAAAAAGAGGUAUUUUUGGCCAAAAACAGGGAGUGCCAGUUGGGCGAGACUACAAUGAGGGGAGACUUUGGUGGAGUCAUGCAAAUAAAAAGGCAACAUGUAGUAAGGCAUGAGAGAGUUAAAAGCUGACGAAUGUCACAUUAAUCUGACACUGAAUCUAUUAGCGGGGGAGGGGGGAUCUGCAACCUAUGACUGCCUGGAUGUAAUUAAACUACAACUCCCAUUAUCCCCAACAGCAGCUGGAGGGCAUAAGGUAGCAGAUCUCCUCUCUAUGGAAUCCAAACCACACAGAAUUCUGUUCCCAUGAAUAUAGCUUUACUAUUAGAAAUUCUUCAACCUGAAUCUCACCUUGCUUUGUUUUCUACAGGCACAAAUCUGAAUCUGACAUCAAUUUUAACCUGUAUUUUAGUGGCAUUUGCUGCAUUUUAAUUAGAACCCAUGUUUGCCAUCUUUUUACAAAAUAAACCCAAGUGUUUUUUUUC